GUUUAAUGGAAUGUUCAGGACAGCUGCUACAGUCUGGCCGCCUGCCUCCUAAGGUGUUCUUACCUCUCUUCCCAAGAAGCUGCUUUCUUUUUCCAAUUCCUAGCAGAAAGCUCACCCUUCUGAAAGAGAGACCUGCAGCUGCUGCC